rnacentral:misc_RNA from 1 species
GACUCCAGUCCAUCCCCAAAGGCAGAGGCGAGGUACCAUCAUGGCUAUACCCUGGCGGGCUCUUACGCGUGGGAAUCAUGGAUUUAUAAUUUAUUUUAUCCCCAUAACAACUCCCAGGAUCCUCACCUCUAUCAUAAUAUCCAUGGAUGAAGGAAUUCGACAAUGAAGAUGAACGAUGGUAGUGAGAGAUGGAGAUGGGGUCCAUGAUGGGAUCGGAGAAGUUGGCAAAGUCGAAAAGAGAGAGAUCGUGCGCAUAGAGAUCCAUGAUUGAAUUCGAUAGGAAAUGUUCCCUUCACCAAGGUUUUCCGUUUGUUUCGUUUUUAAACAAAAGUUGCCAAUAUUCACCACAUCCUCACCUUUGCCUGAAUUGAGCGAAAUGAAGAUGAUAAAAUAAACAUGCUCCGUAAUUUAUAGAAGAUAAUUUUAACUUUGUUGAGAGAACUUGUAAGUUGUAAUAAGGCAGCUCAUCUCAUAUUCCUCAUAUUCUCUUGCUUGAUCUUUCUCUCUUCCGCCCACUCUUUUUGUCUCCCCCCAUCCUUUUAUCACAAACUUGAACAAACUCAACAAUCCCUUACAAAUCCAAACCUAGCAAUGCUCUUUGCCUCUUUUGAUGCUUUAUCCUUUAUGUGGGUGAUGCCACCAACUGUGCUGUAGUCCCCAUUCAAUAAAAACGGUUUGGGUGGGAAUGAAAAUUUAGAUACAAUCUUCUGUUACAUUUUAUAAAAAGAGGCUUCUCUCCUUUUUAGUUGAAUGAGAAGGAUCUUCUUUCCAAACUGAGUUGAAUGAUAUCUUCUGCAAAUCAAGUUGUGAGCUUCAUAAGAUUAGCAACAAUGGGAACAAAUCCUGGUUUAUCAUAAUCCAUCUGAACCAGUGCUCCAAAGGGU